rnacentral:rRNA from 1 species
CCUACGGGUGGCAGCAGUGGGGAAUAUUGCACAAUGGGGGAAACCCUGAUGCAGCGACGCCGCGUGAGCGAUGAAGUAUUUCGGUAUGUAAAGCUCUAUCAGCAGGGAAGAAGAUGACGGUACCUGACUAAGUAGCCCCGGCUAACUACGUGCCAGCAGCCGCGGUAAUACGUAGGGGGCAAGCGUUAUCCGGAUUUACUGGGUGUAAAGGGAGCGUAGACGGGGUUGCAAGCCAGGUGUGAAAGCCCGGGGCUCAACCCCGGGACUGCCUUUGAAACUGUGUGGCUGGAGUGUCGGAGAGGCAGGCGGAAUGCCUAGUGUAGCGGUGAAAUGCAUAGAUAUUAGGAGGAACACCAGUGGCGAAGGCGGCCUGCUGGACAAUAACUGACGUUGAAGCUCGAAAGCGUGGGGAGCGAACAGGAUUAGAUACCCCAGUAGUC